AUGAAGCUGUUGUUGGCCGGGCCCCAGGAGACGACGGCGUCCGUGGCCGGGUCGUCCACCAUGUCGUACGUCUUCAUCAGGAACGGCGGCGGCGCGCCCGCCCCCGCCCCCGCCCCGGGAGGCGCCACCGCCGUCGUCACCGUCGACGACGCCGCGGCCGCAGCCGCAGCGGCGGAGGCCACCGCAGCAACCCCGCCGUCCAUCGCCGUCCUCGAUCCGUACGGCCCCGGCCCCGACCUCGGAGCUCAGCCCCGCCGCGCGGGAACACCACCAGCCGGAGUCGAGGGAGCACCUCCGAUUGGAGCAGGGCGAGAGGGAGUGGGGGAUUUGGGGGCGGGGAUUGAUUCUAGGUCUGGGGGUGGAGGUGAAAGGUGGGGUCUUUGA
rnacentral:rRNA from 1 species